rnacentral:lncRNA from 1 species
GUAGUGAAAAAAAAAACUGUUAUUAGUUUUUAUCAAUAAAUUAUUUUUUAAUUAAGACAAUACAUCUGCAACUAAGUAUGGAGUAGAAUUUUCCAAGUCUUACAUUUCAUGACUUUGUAAAAAAUACCUCAAUCCAUAACAUAAAAGUGAUAAAAAAAUGUGUAUUGAAAAAGCUGGUAUUUUCGAACGCGUUUAUCUCGGAUUGUCUGUUCGCCAUAUUUGGAGGUCUUUAUCAGUUCGUGACAACACCGACAACGAAUUCAAACACCUCAAUGGUAAGUGGUGGAUUCAUGUUCCGACCUUUAAUUAUAUGCAAAAUAGGUCACAUGGGACCAAUCCCUGCGUUGUGGUUGGUCAAACUUAAACUGUCUGUUUUUCGUAAACAUAGGGCGUUGGCUGACGAUGAAAGAGCUACAGUCAUUCACACUCAGUGGAUAGCUCUGACUAAACAGCUCAAGAUUCUUGACUGCCAGGAAAAUUGAAGUUAUCCGAUCGCUUUGGUAAAUAGGGCGUUGGCUGACGGUGAAAAAGCUACAGUCAUUCACACUCAGUGGAUAGCUCUGACUAAACAGCUCAAGAUUCUUGACUGCCAGGAAAAUUGAAGUUAUCCGAUCGCUUUGGUAAAUAGGUAGCAGGAAGAGCUCAAUGGAAUUCGUGGAAAUAUCUACAGUUGUGAACCAGCAAUAUUCCUACGCUGGGAGUGGAGACACUCUGAAAAAUAUACCUGCGCUCUUGUCGCUCUUUCAGAACCACAUGCGUGAGCCUAACGUAGAAUGCUUGGUGAAGAUAAUCGAAAAUAUUGGCAAGUUAGAGUUCAAACCUCAGGAGAGCGAACAGCAUCAUCUCAUGCGGGAUUUCGAGCUCAAACGCCUGCUGAUCUUUCACGAGAUAUCAAAGCUUGGUUUCCAGAUGAUUGCGGCCACCAGUGCUUUCGCCCCAGACGGGAAACAGGAACUGCGGUGGACUUUCGCCCUGAAGGUCCUUUAGGAAAAUAAUGCAAAGAAAUCCCUGAAUGUGGUAAUUUCGGUUGAAAGCGAUACUACAGUUGUGUAGUUUAUAGCCUGUUAAAUUGGAUGCACCUCUUCAAAAUGUGUUUAACAACCUUCUAUCAGCCUGAUUUAUAUCUUGUUAUAACCACCUAGUAAUUUUCACGCGUUAUUAUGUCGUACUUAUAAAUCUGGGUGUCAAACACUCCGCCAUCUAUCACUUUGCCCACGCGCCACUUCGCCCCACGCAAUAUUUCGCGUAGUAAUACUGCUCGCCCUGAUUCCACAGGCGGGUAGGCCUAGCUGUGAUUAACUUUUUAAAAAAAAAUCGGCAUCUUUUCAUCGGGUUUAGUGCGUGGGUGUUUUUUCGGAUAGAAUAAUCGUUCCAAUAAUAGCACGUAAAAUGGUUUCUGUUAGUGCUCCAAAGUUUGACAGUAGCACAGACUGCGAUCUCAUACGGAAAUAAAAUACGGAAAAUACCUAAAUGCACAGAUGCUACUCAAACCCAGUGAUAUAUUACAGAUUUUCUUCCAGGCUGUCAAAACUGGGAACGUAAUUUGUGUUGCCAACAAUAUGGGCCUUGGUCAAGGGUAUAUUUUUAAAUGAAUCUCUUGGUUUCGGCAAAGCGUUGUUGUCAAUAACAUAAAACAAAUACUUCGUGCUAUUUGACAGUGCCCGUUUUUCAUCAGUUAAUCGACAUUCAAACUGAGGAUGUGGAUAUGUUCAUGUAACACUAUUAGGGUUAUUCAAUAGGAUAAGGAGUACAUGUCUUAUUAUGAUGAUUUCUGAUGAGAUUAUCAAUCUAAAAUUAAACUUGCAAUUUGUUGUCUUCUUGGGUUUUUGUUUGUUUGUUUUUUUUUUUUAGAAAGGAAGAUCUAGGAAUAGUUAUAAAGACGCUAUGUCCUUUGUAUUUUUGGCAAGAAAAGGGGAAUGACCUUUUGCCUUGUCUCAUUUUUUCUACAUUAAGUCGUCAAUUCUUAACACUCCAUUAAAAUUCAACCUCCGGUGUGGCAAACAUCAAAAGUUCAGUUCACCAUCUCGCAUGAUGUGUUCAGUUUUUAGUUUGCGAUUAGUAACUUUAUAGGAAAUAAGAUAAUCGAACGUAUAUAACAGUUGGUACGCUCGCUUUCAGAAAAUGAUUUCUACUUUUUGCAAAGGCAUUUCAGGGCACUGUUUUCAGUCAAAUGUCACAUUGCCACGUAAAAAACAAAUGAGAUUUCAUUUCAGUGUAACUAGUGCUAAGCACUGACGUGACAACUGGAUUUUGAUGUUGGCAGGUGCCAAUUUUGAGCGUCUUUCUGUUUUGAGCGUGAUAGGAUAAUCUGAAUUUCGUGAAGUGGAAAAUAGGUAUAAAACAUUGCAAAGCUCGUCGUAGCCUGAGCUUCACUUCAUUAUACGUGUACUGCUGCCUAGACCUUUUAGCAUUGUUUGUCGAAGUAUAUGCGACAUUCAACUUAUUGUAAGCAGAUUGAUUGCGAUCUGGGUUGGAGAAGUUGACUUGAAAUAGUAAUCUUAUGUUAAUAGGACAAAUGUUGGAAUGUGAUUAAAGUAUUAUGCACACAUAUAUGGAAUAGCAAAGAUAAUGUGCAUGUUGUACGCCUGUAUAAUGUGGCCCACCAUUCCCAAACCAGGUCAAAUAUUAAGCUGUAUAGGCAUGAUCAAUGCCAAUUCCACUACUUUCACUAACCAAAACUCUGAAAGCUCUCUGUCCAUUUUUUUCCCCUUGGACCACUUUCAAGUGUAAAUCUGAAAAGCUUGGAGGGAAAUUCUCAGUAAUUAAAAUAGCCCUCUUCAGCCUGGUUAUGGGGAUAUCUGGUUUCAAAGUAAUUCGAAUUUACAAUGUAAAUGUAUCUUCUCUUUAUUACAAAAAGUUCGUCAUAUUCAAUUUACUUCCUGAAUGGCCAUUUGGAUAUCAUCAUUCACAGUCACUAAAUGUUUUGAUUUUGUUUAUUUUAUUUUCCGAUUUGUUGGAUUUAAUUGGUAAAAGUAAGUAGAAUUGGUUUAUAAGUAGAAGUAGUUACAUUGCUUAUCUAUGAGAAAUGUGCGUUGUAAAGCGUUAAUCAAACCAAUAGGCUCCUGUUUCUUCAUUACGCUACUUUGUUUUAGAAAUUGUAAAAAAACAAAUAUUAUUGCAUUGAAAUUGCAUCCGUUUUCCACAUCCGUCGACCUAAGCAAUUUGGGCAUAAUACAAAUGUUAUUACAAAAAUCACUUGGGAUUCCUGGGAAUCCUAUUCAGAAUAUGUACCAAAAUGAUGAAACGAAGUUAACGGAGCAUAAAACAAUCGGUGCUGAGUACUUAGAAUAGAGUGGUGGUUUCCGAGGAGUUUCUCUAAACAAAUUCUGUUCGGAUAGAAACGGCUUGUAUUGUAAAGUUUGAGAAUGGAAAAUUUAGCAAAUGAGCUUAUAACGGAACAGUGGGCCUAAGCUUCAGUGAUACUGUGUGAUCCAGAAUUUACUUUCAUGUUGGAGCAAAUUACAUUGUGAAAAAAAUUUCUCAAUUCAAUUUGGCCCAAUUUAAUCACUAAAGACAGAGAAUAAUGCUUUUGUAAGCCUUUGCUAAUUGGUGUUCAUAUGUUUUUUUAGAAAAAAAUAGUUGAGGUACACAUAUAAGCCUAUUUAGCGCUAUAUUAGACUACCGCAGUAGCCAGGUAUAGCCUCUCGUUGCAAAUUUGUCGAAAAUAAAGCUUUUGAUGAAAAUUC